UACGUAGGGGGCAAGCGUUGUCCGGAUUUAUUGGGCGUAAAGAGCUCGUAGGUGGUUCGGUAAGUCGGAUGUGAAAUCUCCAGGCUCAACCUGGAGGGGUCAUUCGAUACUGCCGUGACUAGAGGUCGGUAGGGGAGUGUGGAAUUCCUGGUGGAGCGGUGAAAUGCGCAGAUAUCAGGAGGAACACCCGUAGCGAAGGCGGCACUCUGGGCCGAUACUGACACUGAGGGAGCGAAAAGCGUGGGGGAGCGAACAGG
rnacentral:rRNA from 1 species